GUACCAUUGGAGAAGGACUACAGUUGGUGCAGAAAGAGUGUUCCAAUUCUGCCCUCCACAGUUUGGUAGAGUUGUGGUUACAGUGAUAACAUCAUGCCAUACCGGGGGAAGAGAUCUCAGGCUGCAAAGCAAUGCUGGACUAAGUUGGACCUUUCACACCCUUGGUUUCAGAGUCCAGAACCACACAGUAGCAUUCAAGUCAUGGAGGAAAGGUCCUGUACUACAAAGAUGGUGGGACAUUGAAGAGGGUGAUAGAAAGCGAAGAGGAAAGGAUGGAGCUGCUCAUUGAG